CCUGACCCGUGAGGAUUUCCAAUACACGCAUAGUUCAUCCGAGCAGCUACUACUGCACUGCGGAUACACUAGCAUUGUCUUUCGCUCCUAUCUGAUGGUCAAG
rnacentral:snoRNA from 1 species